CAGGCCUAACACAUGCAAGUCGAGCGGUAACAGGGGGUGCUUGCACCCCGCUGACGAGCGGCGGACGGGUGAGUAAUGCAUAGGAAUCUGCCCGAUAGUGGGGGAUAACCUGGGGAAACCCAGGCUAAUACCGCAUACGUCCUACGGGAGAAAGGGGGCUUCGGCUCCCGCUAUCGGAUGAGCCUAUGUCGGAUUAGCUAGUUGGUGAGGUAAAGGCUCACCAAGGCGACGAUCCGUAGCUGGUCUGAGAGGAUGAUCAGCCACAUCGGGACUGAGACACGGCCCGAACUCCUACGGGAGGCAGCAGUGGGGAAUAUUGGACAAUGGGGGGAACCCUGAUCCAGCCAUGCCGCGUGUGUGAAGAAGGCCCUCGGGUUGUAAAGCACUUUCAGUGAGGAAGAACGCCUGGUGGUUAAUACCCAUCAGGAAAGACAUCACUCACAGAAGAAGCACCGGCUAACUCCGUGCCAGCAGCCGCGGUAAUACGGAGGGUGCGAGCGUUAAUCGGAAUUACUGGGCGUAAAGCGCGCGUAGGUGGCUUGAUAAGCCGGUUGUGAAAGCCCCGGGCUCAACCUGGGAACGGCAUCCGGAACUGUCAAGCUAGAGUGCAGGAGAGGAAGGUAGAAUUCCCGGUGUAGCGGUGAAAUGCGUAGAGAUCGGGAGGAAUACCAGUGGCGAAGGCGGNCUUCUGGACUGACACUGACACUUGAGGUGCGAAAGCGUGGGGUAGCAAACAGGAUUAGAUACCCUGGUAUCCACCCGUAAACGAUGUCGACC
rnacentral:rRNA from 1 species